UGGGCGAGUAGCGGGCCCGGAUGCCAGGCGAAAAGGUCUUAGUUCCACAGGGAGGAAUGCUGCCACCAGGAACCACAACGAUUCCACUGAACUGGAAAUUCAGACUGACACCCAGCCACUUUGGGCUCCUCAUGCAUCUGAGUCAAAAGGCCAAGAAGGGAAUUACUAUGUUGCUGGGGUGACUGAUCCAGACUAUCAAGGGGAAAUUGGCCUACUACUCCCUAGUGAAGUGCUAAUAAAGACAUACCCAAGACUGGGUAAUUUAUAAAGGAAAGCAGUUUAAUUGACUCACAGUUCAGCAUAGUGGCGGAGGCCUCGGAAAACUUCCCAUCGUGGCAGAAGGGGAAGCAAAUACGUCCUUCUUCACAUGGCAGCAGCAAGAAGUGCCAAGCAAAAGGAGUAAAAGCCCCUUACAAAACCAUCAGAUCUCAUGAGAACUCACUAUCACGAGAACAGCAGCAUGGGGGUAACCGCCCCCAUGAUUCAAUUACCUCCCACCGAGUCCCUCUCAUGACACAUGAGUAUUAUGGGAACUACAAUUGAAGAUGAGAUUUGGGUGUCAAUUUGACUGGAUUAAGGAAUACCUAUAGAACUGGUGAAGCAUCACUUCUGGGUGUGUCCAUGAGGGUGUUUCUGGAGGAGAUUGGAAUGUGAGUCUGUGGAUUGAGUGGGGGAGAUCAAUGCAGGAAGGCACCAUCCAAUCAGCUGGGGUCUCAGAACAAAGAAGACAGAGAAAAGGGCCGGGUGCGGUGACUCAUGCCUGUAAUCCCAGCACUUUGGGAGGCGAAGUGGACGGAUCACGAGGUCAGGAGUUCGAGACCAGCCUGAUCAACAUGAUGAAACCCCAUCUCUACUAAAAAUACAAAAAUUAGCCGGACGUGAUGGCGCGUGCAUGUAAUCCUCGCUAUUCAGGAGGCUGAGGCAGGAGAAUCAUUUGAACCCAGGAGGCAGAGGUUGCAGUGAGCCGAGAUCAGUCACUGCACUCCAGCUCUGAGUCUCCAGAGUGAGACUCCAUCAAAAAAAAGAAAGAAAAGAAAAA
rnacentral:lncRNA from 1 species